rnacentral:rRNA from 1 species
UACGUAGGGGGCUAGCGUUGUCCGGAAUCAUUGGGCGUAAAGCGCGUGUAGGCGGCCCGGUAAGUCCGCUGUGAAAGUCGGGGGCUCAACCCUCGGAAGCCGGUGGAUACUGUCGGGCUUGAGCACGGUAGAGGCUGGUGGAAUUCCCGGUGUAGCGGUGGAAUGCGUAGAGAUCGGGAAGAACACCAGUGGCGAAGGCGGCUAACUGGUCCGGUACUGACGCUGAGGUGCGAAAGCGUGGGGAGCAAACAGG